GGAUGAGUGGCGAACGGGUGAGUAAUACGUGAGUGACCUGCCUUUGACUCUGGGAUAAGCCUGGGAAACUGGGUCUAAUACCGGAUGCGACUACUGCCCGCAUGGGCUGGUGGUGGAAAGGGUUAUGUACUGGUCUUAGAUGGGCUCACGGCCUAUCAGCUGGUUGGUGGGGUAAUGGCCUACCAAGGCGACGACGGGUAGCCGGCCUGAGAGGGUGACCGGCCACACUGGGACUGAGACACGGCCCAGACUCCUACGGGAGGCAGCAGUGGGGAAUAUUGCACAAUGGGCGCAAGCCUGAUGCANCGACGCCGCGUGAGGGAUGACGGCCUUCGGGUUGUAAACCUCUUUCAGCAGGGAAGAAGCGGAAGUGACGGUACCUGCAGAAGAAGCGCCGGCUAACUACGUGCCAGCAGCCGCNGUUAUACAU
rnacentral:rRNA from 1 species